UCCCUCUCAUUCAGCAGAUCCCUCUUUCCCCAGCGACGCUGCUCAGGCCGUUAGUUACAUAAGACGCAAACCGACUGCUGCCCGUCGUAAAAACUACCAACGGCUAACAGCAACAAUUUUGUCUCCUAAAUCGCACGGCUGCCUCCCAGGACGAACAAAAUUCAUCUUCCCCACUUGUCCGAGAGCAUGCAUUUCGCUGUCUACAAGUCCAAACAGGCAUCGCCGAUGCAUUCAUAUUGUUUUGGUUGAAAAAAAAAAGAAAGAAAAAAAGGAAAAAUCCCCUGCACCAUGUAGGAGAGUGCAGCCUGUUAAGAUGGUGGCUGGCUGGCUGGUUCGUCUCUUUGUGGGGUUUUUGUUUGUUGAUGAUGUCGGACGGGGUGAGUGUGUCUUGGCUGUCUCUUUUUUUCUUUGGUCUGAGAGGGAAAGAGAGAUAGUUAAAGCUUCACGGCAGCACAUAAACUAGGCUAAUACCGACUGAUUAGUGGACUAGUGUUAUCGCUUUGCUGUGACAGGACCUCUCUGCCUGUCUGUAGGCUGGGGCAUUACGUCAGAGGAGGAAGACACAGC